UACGGGGGGGGCAAGCGUUGUUCGGAAUUACUGGGCGUAAAGGGCUCGUAGGCGGCCAACUAAGUCAGACGUGAAAUCCCUCGGCUUAACCGGGGAACUGCAUCCGAUACUGGAUGGCUUGAAUUCGGGAGAGGGAUGCAGAAUUCCAGGUGUAGCGGUGAAAUGCGUAGAUAUCUGGAGGAAUACCGGUGGCGAAGGCGGCAUCCUGGACCGACAUUGACGCUGAGGAGCGAAAGCUAGGGGAGCAAACGGG
rnacentral:rRNA from 1 species